GUAAGGAAUAUUGGUCAAUGGGGGCAACCCUGAACCAGCCAUGCCGCGUGAAGGAUGAAGGCGUUAUGCGUUGUAAACUCCUUUUAUAUGGGAAGAACCGUCCUCAUUAAUGAGUGACCUGACGGUACCAUAGGAAUAAGCACCGGCUAACUCCGUGCCAGCAGCCGCGGUAAUACGGAGGGUGCAAGCGUUAUCCGGAUUCACUGGGUUUAAAGGGUGCGUAGGCGGAUAAAUAAGUCAGUGGUGAAAUCAACGGGCUCAACCUGUUAACUGCCAUUGAUACUGUGUAUCUUGAAUAUGAGAGAGGUAGGCGGAAUGUUGCAUGUAGCGGUGAAAUGCUUAGAUAUGCUACGGAACACCGAUUGCGAAGGCAGCUUACUAUUUCGUAAUUGACGCUGAGGCACGAAAGCGUGGGUAGCGAACAGGAUUAGAAACCCGAGUAGUCC
rnacentral:rRNA from 1 species